CUAAAGGAAAAUACCAUAAACCUUAAUAAAGACAUAAUCCCAAAGGUUUCCUUUCUCUAUCACUCCCUACCUGCUGGUUGAGUUCCCUUACUCCUCCAAACUUCUCCUUGGCCUCCUAUUGGCACCCCUAACUUCUCUGGACCUGCUUACAGGAAACAUCACAGUCCUCAGAAGGAGGGAUCCUAUGAUGUUGGACAAGUGCCACAGCAGAAACCCUGAGAAGUACUAGCAAUUGCUCAGCAGAUUCCAUGUCAAUAUCAUAAAGCAAUAAAUGAUUUUACUAGUAUAGUAACAGCUUGACGAGUACAGUAUUCUCUCAAUAGUCAUCAGGGAUGGAUUUCAGGAACCCCACGGAUACCAAAAUCCACAGAUGCUUGUGUCUCUGAGAUAAAAUUUUGUAAUACUUGCAUAUAACCUACACACAUCAUCCUGUAUACUUUAAAUCACCUCUAGUUUACUUUUAAUACCUAAUACAAUGUAAAUACUAUGUAAAUAGUUGUAACACUGCAUUGCUUUUAAGUUAUUUUUUAUUGAUGUAUUGCUAUUUUUUAUUUUUCACGUAUUUUUAUUGUGGAAUCUGCAAAGAGGAAGCCGAGGAUAUGGAAAGACAGCUGUAACUAUUUUUCCUUAACAUAGAUACCAAUAUUUUGGAUUCUGCUAAGAUCUAUUCCAAGCCUAUUUGGAAGUGGUUUCCACCCUGGAAAAUGGUGCUUCAGAGAACAUGUGAACAGAACAAAAGGACUCUUGUUUUGAUAUCCAUUUUGCCUCACAUUCUUCAUGUAUAAAAUGAGAAUAAUGAUACCUGUUUUACCCCCUUGUUGUGGAGAUAAAUUGUGAUAAUGUAUUUGAGAGAGCACUGGAAACUAAAAUAGGUUUUGUUUGUCUGCUUUUGUUUUCACCAAGAACUGUGAGAAACUGGGACACCAUUAUUGCUGAUUUGGAAACUCUAUCAUUGGAAGUAGCACUAAUAGGAUGGAGUAUUCACCCACGUGUUACAAAUGCACAUUGCACAGUUUUGGAGUCUAAAUGGAUUUGGUGCUUUAAGUAUAAGUUGGGCCUCAAAAAAAUGGCACACAGCAGAUGCCUAGCAACACAGCAGCAGUACCACCUUCAAGAUGAGAUUUUUCUCAAGCUCAUGUGACAAAUCCACUGGGAACUCCCAGAAAAACAAUGAAAACUAUGAAAAAGCUGAGAUUCUACAUGGGCAGGUAUUGCAACUGAGGCUUAGAAAAGUUAAAUGUUUUUGCCAAAGAGGUCCAACUGCUGAGGCCACCUGGUGGUAACUAUAAGAGCACAAUCCUUCUAUACUGAUCUUGGUGUAAGUCCUGUGCCUGUAAUUUAUUAACAUUCUGACCCUGUGGGAAUAUAAAGCAAGCCAAAGGGAACUCAUUCUUCUCGAGUGGCCAAUACGUGUGAAGCAGCUAAGAGGUUUACUUCCAACAUAUUUAGUGUUUAUAACCAUCAAGAAAGUGUCCAUUUUGCUUGGAGAUGGAUGCUAAGAUGUAAACUGACUGGAGGAAGCAUAAAAAAUGAAAGAUCACCAGACUUCAACAUCUGAGACCCAAACAUUCACAAGACUCCAUAUUAAUCAACUCUGGAGAGCAACAUCUAAACUCAAUGAUGAGCAAAGAGAGAGGAGUUGAUUGAUUCCUUGAAGCAAUUCUGCUUUGAUAACCCCUUGAUGUUGGUUUGACUCAUGCUCCUGUCAUCAUGAAGCCCCCUAUUGUGUGAACUAAUUGAAACCUCACAAAAUGGUGUCACUUGAAUAGCAUUACUCCUGCCUGAUUGUAAGCAACUCUAAUUCCCAAUGUCAAGAUCACAUUUCACUUCACAGUUAUAUGGAUCACAACAUGAGAGGGAUUAAUUUCUGGUUGAUUACCCUCUGCAGCUAUAACAUGAAAUGCAAUUCAUAGCAAGUGGGCUCUUCGCAUGUUUGCUAAUCUGCCACAUUGGCAAUUGUUUUGAGGAUCCUCUGAAGAAUUCUAAUGAGCAUUUAAAAGAAAGUAUGCUUAUGAAAUAUAAGCCAAUGAUGCAAAUAAUGUUAAAAAUGGUAUUUUGUGAGAUUAUAUAUAUUUUUGUGUGCUGUGUGUGUGUGUGUGUGUGUGUGUGUGUGUGUGUUUACAGGAUUAAUUCAAUCAAUACUCUUGCAGUUUGCUGAACACAAUAUUCAGUAUAUAGUGCAUUCAGAUAAAUCUUUUGGGGGAUGUAAAAAUUUAAGAAAUAAAAUUGUGACAAGUGAUAUCCUAGUGUAAGAAAUAGGAUGUUGAAUAGCAAAGUUCCUUAAAGUAUCUAAGAACUCCUGUAACGAGAGGUGAUGGUAUCGCUGGGGCAAUGUCUACAACCAAAUUUAGAAAGUUAGAACAUUCACAGGAUAUUAUCAUAAGAUAAAAAAUUAUCAUAUUUGGAUAUUUGAAGGAACUUGCAAGAUUCCACCAAAUAUACACACGUAAGGCUUUUAUUUAAAGGCAAAGGAUAUGUAUGGCAAUAGAUAGUGCAAUCAGGUAUCAUUGGUAGAGAAACAUUCUUAAAAGCUUAAGCUUUCUGGGGUCCUUAUGUAUACAUGGAAACCUUUUGUCUACAGAGUGAACCACCAAGAACUGUGCUGUGAAAUCUUGGCUUCAAAAGAACUCAAAGUAGAAAUUUCUAGUGAGUUUUCCCUCCUGUUGUCACAGAGACCAGCCAGGCUAUCUUAUCUGUUGUACCAUAUGAAGCCAUCAGUAAACAAACUGACCCUACCCCAUCCUUGUGGAAUUUCUGAUUUUAACAAGAACAUGAUCAAUUACACUGCCCUUUAUUUGACCAAUUGUCAAAACCACACAUCCAGACAUUUCAGGAGAUAAGCAUAGUUUACCCAUUUCAGUUGUAAAAUAACUCUGUUCUUUAAAAAUAGUAGCGGUACUGAUAAUAAUAAGUAGCUGUAUGACUUAUCUACUGCUACUGUAACAAAUUGCUACAGUCUUAAUUGGUUAAAAAGCAACACAGAUUUAUAGUUCUGGAGACUAGAGCUCCAAAAUUGUUUCUAAAUAACAUUUGUAAAAGGCCUAAUAGAGUUUGUUCUAUCUUACAUGCUAAACAAAUGAGAACUUUUCAUAUCAUUUUUGGGAUCUUCAGAGUACGAUAUUCAACUAUUUAAAUUAAUAUUGUAUCUUGUGUGUGUCAACAGUUGAAUCUUAACAAAAAUUAAGAUUCAGUUCCCUUUAAGUUGUCCUGUGUGUUUAAUUACAGUAUUUUAAAAAAUCAAUCAUUAUAUUUAUAGGAACUCAUAUAUGAGACAUCUUUAUCUCCCCCACCACACGCAUGCACACAAAAUAUAUCUUUCCCUUGGUUAAUCCACUUCUACACAAUACCAACACAGCUGCUUUAACACUGAGUAAUUCAGUAAAACAACUAGAAUAAUUUGGGUCCAGAAAACAUUCACAAGCCAUAUUGACUUAAGGAAUUGUGUGAAUAUUUAAGUAAGACCCCUGAAAAGUUGGACCUUUGUUAAAGGUAGAUAGUCUUCUGUUUUUCAUUGAAUAGGAUUUUGUUUUACACAAAAAGCAAUGAGUCAACGUUUUAGAAAACCUAUAGAAAUUCUUACGAUUUUAUAAAUAAGAAUCAGAAUAUAUUCCCCUUUAAGAGGUCCACUAUUAAUUUUCUCUUGUCCUAAUUCCUUUAUCAUCCUGGAAACAUUGUAAUUAACAUACCUAUGGAUGUAUUUCAUCAGCUUUUUAUGACUCUGACAAAUUUGCUUCUAAUAAACUAUAGCAAGUAUUUAUCCAACUAUCUACCACUAUGUUGUGUCAAUCACCAGAUUCUUUACAUGUUUUUAAACUGAAAAGAAAUUUUGUUUAUCGUUUGUUUCAAAAAUUUAAAAGGGCUCAGCAGGCAAUUUGCAUAUGCCACUAGUUUAACUGAGCAAGGAUUAGCAAAUUAAAUCUUAAUUAGCGAAUUUUUGCAUAAUUUUAGGGAAAUUAUAUGCUUUGCGCAGAUGACAGGUGGGAGGUAAGACAUUUAGCUUGCAUUGAAUUGAAGUCUUCCUUGACUUUAUGAAUUUUAAUAGAAAAAUAACAUUUAACAGUUAAAAUAUGUGUCAAACUGAAUAGAGCCUAUCUGGAGCCACUAAAAUAAGAAAUUACUUUUUGAAAGAAAACCAGUGAUGAGCAUUUAAGUAUUCCUAAUAAUGCACAUAUAAGAAAUAUUUUGAAAUUGAAAAGGAAUUUUUUCCAACAGGUUUUAUGGUUUAUAGUAUGUGUUCUGCCUUAUAAUAUAAUAAUUAAUGGAAUGUGAAUAAUAAUUCACAGUUUGCACAUAUAGUUACAAUAAAGUCACAGUAUUAAAUCUGUAUAUGGGAGAGUAGGUAGUGCUGUGCCACAGUAAUUAUAAUCGUACCAACUCACAUGAGCAGGGGACUUGUGUGGCACACAGCAGUCUUCUGAUGCUUUGACCUGAUGCCCUCAAGACCAGCUUCACCUUUGUGCUGCUUCCUGUUUCUGGACUCUUUUCUCUCUACUCUCCACACUUAAUCUUGUUAUCAAAUUAUCCUUUAAAGUUCCAGCUGAACAUCUGUAUACAGGAGGACUUUACUUAUCCUGCUCUAUCUUACCAAUGAUCUAACUCCCUUCUGUGUCUCCAUAGUUCCAUGUGUAUCUGUUUUUUUCAAUCAUUUCACUAAUCACACUAUACUACAAUUGCUAAUUCACUUCACUCUCCUUACAAGACCCUUGAAAGCAAGAACUAUAUUUGAUCCACCUUUGCACCUUUUCAACAGGGAUUUGUUGAAUAAAUUAAGAAAGGAACCUUUACUGUCAUAUUUUAACCACCUAAUUUCAGUUUAUUUCAGUCGUUUUAUUGAAAAUUAUUCUCAAAAUCAUUUUUGAAAGAAAGCUAUGAGUUUAAUAUUUUAUUAUAAGGACAAGUUUCCGUGACUUAACAUUGCAUUGUUUAUUCUAGGCAUACUCAUGUAAGUCAUGACAUGCUUUAAUGACUUCUGUAUUCCAGUAGACACUAAAGGUCAAUGAAAGCAGAAACUUUUCUCUGGUAGCUGCUCUAUCCUCAAAGCCAAGAACAUAGCCUAGAAUGUAGCAGGUAGGUAAUCAGUAAAUAAUUUUUGAAUAAAUAAAGGAAUUAUUUAAUGAAAUAUAAAAGCCAAGAAAAGACAGGAAGAAAAACAGGAAGGAAGAAAGGAAGGAAGGAAGGGAGGGAGGGAGGAAGUGAAGCAUUACCGAACUUAUAAAGGGCAGACCAUUGCUUGAUUUAUUACCUAACAGGAUGUUCAAGAAUGACAGGCACAUGUUAUAUAUAUUUUUGUUAAGCAAAUAAAUGAAUGAAUAAUAUCGAAUACGAUAAUAUGGAUUACAAUUUAGUUCAGGCAUUUGAAAUGAUUUUUAUGGAUGUAGUUUUAAAAAUCAGUUUUAUGAAUUUCUGCUUCAAGUACUUGUAAUAUUUCAUAGUAAGAUCUAAUACUUAUCCUGACUCCCACAUUUUCUCUUUAGUUUUUCAAUUUCUGCUUAUAAUUUUAUUCUAAUAGUUAAUUCUGUAAAGGACACUACACGUUUUAUUUCUGUAAUAGAUAUUUGUAUUGUAUAUGUUAUUCAGACAUUUUAUUUUUGCUAAAUAUUUCUUUCUACUGUCAUGUUUGGUAAGUUUGCAGUUAUUUCCAUGUGUUUGCCUCUAACUGUGCAUAAAUAGUUUUGCCUUUUUUCCCCUUGAUGAAAGCAAACAAACCUUAUUGCUUCUGGUAUGGAAUAUGAAUUUAAUUUAAAUUAAAUAAGGAAAUAGCCUUGAUAUGUUGGUUUUAAAAAUGCAUGUCAACAUUUGGCAUUUGGAUAUUCUAUGUAAAUGCAAGCUUUUAACAGAAUUUCAAUUGAACAAAUUAUAGUUUUGACUGUAAUUUAUGGGAACUAUUUAAAUAUCUACAACUUAUAGCCAGUGUUUCCUAAAUUAUUCAUGAAUUACUAAUUACCCUCUUUCAGCCACA
rnacentral:lncRNA from 1 species